rnacentral:rRNA from 1 species
AUUGAACGCUGGCGGCAGGCUUAACACAUGCAAGUCGAGCGGAGUGAUGGUGCUUGCACUAUCACUUAGCGGCGGACGGGUGAGUAAUGCUUAGGAAUCUGCCAUUUAGUGGGGGACAACAUUCCGAAAGGAAUGCUAAUACCGCAUACGUCCUACGGGAGAAAGCAGGGGAUCUUCGGACCUUGCGCUAAAUGAUGAGCCUAAGUCGGAUUAGCUAGUUGGUGGGGUAAAGGCCUACCAAGGCGACGAUCUGUAGCGGGUCUGAGAGGAUGAUCCGCCACACUGGGACUGAGACACGGCCCAGACUCCUACGGGAGGCAGCAGUGGGGAAUAUUGGACAAUGGGCGGAAGCCUGAUCCAGCCAUGCCGCGUGUGUGAAGAAGGCCUUUUGGUUGUAAAGCACUUUAAGCGAGGAGGAGGCUCUCCUAGUUAAUACCUAGGAAGAGUGGACGUUACUCGCAGAAUAAGCACCGGCUAACUCUGUGCCAGCCGCCGCCGUAAGAC